AGAGUGAACGCUGGCGGCAGGCCUAAUACAUGCAAGUCGAACGGCAGCACGGCAGAGCUUGCUCUGUGGGUGGCGAGUGGCGGACGGGUGAGGAAUACAUGGGAAUCUGCCCAGUCGUGGGGGAUAACGUAUGGAAACGUACGCUAAUACCGCAUGCGCCCUUCGGGGGAAAGCCGGGGACCUUCGGGCCUGGCGCGAUUGGAUGAGCCCAUGUCGGAUUAGCUAGUUGGCGGGGUAACGCCACC
rnacentral:rRNA from 1 species